AUUGAACGCUGGCGGCAGGCCUAACCCAUGCAAGUCGAGCGGAGCGGCGGACGGGUGAGUAAUGCCCAGGAAUCUGCCUGGUAGUGGGGGAUAACGUCCGGAAACGGGCGCUAAUAACGCAUACUAACCGAUGAGACUAGGUCGGAUUAGCUAGUUGGUGGGGUAAAGGCCUACCAAGGCGACGAUCCGGAACAGGUCUGAGGGGAUGAGCAGUCAAACUGGAACUGAGACACGGUCCAGACUCCUACGGGAGGGAGCAGUGGGGAAUAUUGGACAAGGGGCGAAAGCCUGAUCCAGCCAUGCCGCGUGUGUGAAGAAGGUCUUCGGAUUGUAAAGCACUUUAAGUUGGGAGGCGUUACCAACAGAAUAAGCACCGGCUAACUUCGUGCCAGCAGCCGCGGUAAUUC
rnacentral:rRNA from 1 species